UGCCUGAUUUGAAAUAGCGUC
rnacentral:piRNA from 1 species